CGGACGGGUGAGUAACACGUAGGUAACCUACCCUAGAGCGGGGGAUAACAUCUGGAAACAGGUGCUAAUACCGCAUAACAACAAACAUCGCAUGAUGAAUGUUUGAAAGAUGGUUUCGGCUAUCACUCUAGGAUGGACCUGCGGCGUAUUAGUUAGUUGGUGAGGUAACGGCUCACCAAGACGAUGAUACGUAGCCGAACUGAGAGGUUGAUCGGCCACACUGGGACUGAGACACGGCCCAG
rnacentral:rRNA from 1 species